GACGAACGCUGGCGGCGUGCCUAAUACAUGCAAGUCGAACGAACCGCGACUAGGUGCUUGCACUUGGUCAAGGUGAGUGGCGAACGGGUGAGUAACACGUGGGUAACCUACCUCAUAGUGGGGGAUAACAGUCGGAAACGACUGCUAAUACCGCAUAGGACAUAGGAUCACAUGAUUCUGUGAGGAAAGGUGGCGCAAGCUAUCGCUAAGAGAUGGACCCGCGGUGCAUUAGCUAGUUGGUAGGGUAAAGGCCUACCAAGGCGAUGAUGCAUAGCCGACCUGAGAGGGUGAUCGGCCACAUUGGAACUGAGACACGGUCCAAACUCCUACGGGAGGCAGCAGUAGGGAAUCUUCCGCAAUGGACGAAAGUCUGACGGAGCAACGCCGCGUGAGUGAAGAAGGUCUUCGGAUCGUAAAGCUCUGUUGUUAGAGAAGAACAGCGCAUAGAGUAACUAUUAUGCGUGUGACGGUAUCUAAUCAGAAAGCCACGGCUAACUACGUG
rnacentral:rRNA from 1 species